UGUUAAAGUUGAUCUGAACUAUUAAAUACUCUGUUAAAAAAAUAAUUGUUAAACACUCAAUUCGCGUCUUAAUUAAAAGUGAAAUAUUUGUAAAAUAAAAAUAAUUCAAAUAAAUAAAUAAAAACCAGAACAAAUGGCUGACUGUGAAAGUUAAAAAAUUCAUCCUGCAAUAUUUAAGCAAUAAAUAGAAAAAAAAUCAAAAAAACUCUGGAAUUGUAAUUUUUUUAAGAAAACUCGCAAUAUGGUGCUCGUACUAAACGGGGUGAUACAAGACGAAACUGUGUGCCCGAAAAAUUCCGCCACACUCUACAUGCAACAUCCGCAUUACCGUACCACAGCAACGCAAUUGACACAAAUGCCCGUGCGAAUUAUCACAACAAGUCCGCAAAUCGGGCUGCUUUACGUGCAUCAGCGGGAAAUGGGCGCCGUACCAUCGCACGACAAACAAAUAAAUCUUAUCGGAUCGGAUGACGCGACAACUUGUAUCAUCGCAGUGGUCAAGCAUACCGGUUCGGGGGCAAUUUCGCUCGCGCAUUUGGAUGGAUGCGGGAUUGACGAAGCCGUGAGCAAGAUGAUCAGCAAAGUGCACGAUUUGUCGAUGGGAUAUUGCGAAGGCAGGAUCGAAUUGCAACUUGUGGGCGGGUACAAAGACCCAAACGGGCAUGGGGAGGAACUUUUUUACAAAAUUAUGCAAGCCUUUCAAAAUAACCCGAACGAGGUUGAUUUGACGCUGUGUUGUGUCGGCGAACUGAACACCAUUGUGCGCGAUUCGACAAAUUGGCCGAUUAUUUACGGGAUUGGAAUUAACACGACAGGCGAAAUUUUUCCCGCAAAAUUCGAGGAUAAAGGACCUGAGAUAAAUCUGAGACAGGCACGGAACUUCACAGGAGGCAAAACCGUGCUGGAUAUUUACGAUUCGCACUCAGGUAUGAUAAAAAUCGAUCCGUUUAAUUACGAUCCGUUGCGCGGUGUCGAUCUCUGGCUCGCCCAACCCGACGAAAUUAUCCUGCAACACUUGUCGACAAGUCCGCAGGUCGAACCGCCCCAUUUUGUGAGUCAAACACGCGCCACUUUGAAAUACAUACAGGACAAUCCCUUUCCCGCCAUCACCGUUUUCCGGGAAAAUCGACCUCUUUACUUCAAACGGAACGAAACAACGGGUGCUUGGGAACCUCUGCGCUACUGAUAAUUGGUCUCUUAUCACUUUAUUCUGUUAUUGAGACGUUUAGAAGGGAAGGAAAUAAAACUGAUUAUUAUUGUUAGGUGUGGUUCACAAAAAAAAAAAAAAAAAUACAUAAAGCGAUAAGUGAGAUGAAAAUUGGACAUUAACUUAAUUUAAUUUGAUUAAUUUAUAACGCAUCUCAUGACUAAUAAACUCACUUAACGAAGAAGAGGAGAAAUGUUAAAUGUCACCCAGUUAGACAACAUUAAUGAUAAUUUAAAUUAAAUUACGAGUCGUAUCGAGAUUUUGUCUCUCGGAUAGUGGCAUGAAAAAAAUUAAAUUUAAGAAAUUCUGAGCCGAGCCAAGUUCGCAUGAUCAUCAAACAUUCCAGCAAACGACGUUCAAUUUAUGCGAGACCUUAUUAGAUCUAAAUAUUACUACAAUAUUCGUCAUCUCUACAUACAUAUGCAAUUCGAAGUGAUAAGAGAGUUUUAAUAAUCAAAAUUAAAUGUAAUUUAACUUUCUGGUGAUACUUUUACGAUGUAGAAACAAGCGAUAGAAAAGCUA